AAGUCGUAACAAGGUAACCGUAGGUGAACCUGCGGUUGGAUCAUUAACAAAACGAUAAGAGUCAAGCCGUAAAACGCUUGGCUUUUAUAAACACUGUGCACUUGUGAUUGUCUUUGGUGGGCGUGGUGAAAGUAGCAAUACUUGAAACACCUGCCGGAGUUCAUCGGGUUUAUCCUGAUAAAUUCCACCCACCCUUAAACAUGUAUAACUUGAACUAGUUUAUUUAUUAUUUAUAAUAUCUAACAACUUUUGACAACGGAUCUCUAGGCUCUC
rnacentral:misc_RNA from 1 species